rnacentral:rRNA from 1 species
AUUCCAGCUCCAAUAGCGUAUAUUAAAGUUGUUGCAGUUAAAACGCUCGUAGUUGAAACUUUGGUUGUAACAAUGGGUUUGCUUUCUAAGUAAUACCUAUUGUUGUUACCAUUAUUCCGGUUAUGCAGGGAUGAGAAUCCUUGUAUAUUUGGAAGUGUUACUUUGAGAAAAUUAGAGUGUUUCAAGCAGGCGUGAUGCUUUGAAUACUCCAGCAUGGAAUGACAACAAAGGACUCAUGUCCUUCUUGUUGGUUUAAGGAGAUGAGUAAUGAUUAAGAGGAACAGUCGGGGGUAUUCGUAUUUAGUCGUUAGAGGUGAAAUUCUUAGAUUGACUGAAGACGAACUACUGCGAAGGCAUCUACCAUGGAUGUUUUCAUCA